rnacentral:lncRNA from 1 species
CACCCUGUAACUGCUCACACUCUGGCUGAGCUGCUUCAGUCUGCCGAUGUCUCUGUGACAGGCUUGUCAGAAGAGCAUGCAAACUUUCUCGCUGUUUUUACUGAUUUUAAUUUGCAGUAGGAAUCAAUGAAUUAAUGAACAGCAGCUUUGCCUCUUUUAAAUGAUUGCACAAGGACUGACUCCCUUUCCUAACAAAGUCCUUUUACUUACUGACUGCUAUUGAAGGAAGAAUGGAUUUCCUGCCUGAAAUAAUGCUUCUCUUAACAGUAGCGCUACCUGCUGCUGCCAAGUCAUGCCGUGCCACAGAAGGAAGAGCUGCCCAGUGCUACGCCGCUUUGGGAGAACCUGUGUUUCUGCAUUUCAUCAUUGACCUUAAAAAUAAAACAUUUCGACUGAUGAAAGACCAUGUUCUGCUUCUACGUUCAAACAAUAAUGAAAUGGAAAAUGGCAAGAAAUACAAGAACAAAAGUAACUCUUUCUUCAACGGGACAUUCGAGUUGUACAAUGUGGUGAAAAAUGAUUCUGGGAAAUACUGCUGUGAAGUGUUUAAUGCCGAUGGAAGACAACACUACAGAGCUGAAAUACAGCUGACUAUUGAAGCCCUACUGCCAAAACCUGAACUAUCCCAACUAUGUUUACCCCACGGAGAGAUGAGAGUGUCCUGUUCCUCUCGGGACGAAUAUUCAGAGCUACGGUGGACCCUGGAGAACCAGAACCUAAACAGGAAUGUGGCCUAUCUGAGCAGCCAAAGGGACACUGUCAUACUGAAGGGGAACGUGUCUGGAGCUCUGGGCUGUGAAGUCAGGAAUCAUGUCAGUAACAGUACCAACACGCUCCAGAUUGUGCCCUGUCCAGGAAUUGACACCGCUGUGACUUUGUGGUGUAAUUCAGCGAACGGAACAGAGGUCUCAUUCACGAUCAGCGCUGCACACUCCCGCUCGGUGCCGAGUAUCACCAGGAUGUUUUUCACUUUUUCUGGGGAAGACCCGGUGCUUGUUAUUUGCAACAGCAGAGCCGACAUGCGGUACCCAACGGUUAUUUUAUUGAUAUUAGCUGCCUCGGGAGUCUUUAUAGCUGUUGCUCUACUUGCAAGAACAUACUGUCUCCAAGUGAGGACCACCAGACACCGCAGUUCCCCAUCAAGUCAGCAAUCAGAUGAAGAGAACGUCCCUGAGCCAGUCUACACGCAAGUUAGUGUGAGGAAAAAGAAGAAAAGUACAGCAAUAGAGCAAGCAGCACUAGAGGAGGUGCAGUACGGACAGGUGAAACUCAGCGAACAUGAUACCCUGUCUGACAGUUUAGGGAUUUCUGUAUAUACUGUGGUUCGGCAAUAGAGCUGAUCAUUUUGUGAAAAUAAUACUGUUCGAUUUUUAAAGAAAGAUUUAGGAUCAGUUUCGGUAUUUAUGGCGUCUGCCUAAGGGAACCUGAGAUCAAUCGCUGAAUAAUUAGCUAAAAAAAAAAAACGUAUUGCACUCUAUUUCCUUUGUCUUAUUCAACAGAUGCUUUAAACAAUGGGCUUUUCAAGAUAAUGAAAACGACAAAGUCCAUAGAACAUCUGACUCCUGUUUUUCUCAGGUUUUUAGAUUGUAUAAUUUUUUUAAAAAAAAUGCAGAUACAAUUAAAAAGCAUUAACUUUCGAUAAAUAUAUAACUGAGAUCUGUUAGAUUUCAAACUUUCUCUCAGUAGUGGUGCUGUGAUCCCUCAGAACUCAUCGUAGACCCAGUGUCUUAUAGUUACUCUUCUGUCUUCUGUCUUAACGUAUGCGCUGAAAUGUUUAGAUCUUCUUGUUCAGAUGAGUAUCUAUGACUUUUCUUGUUGGGUUUGGGCUUUAUGGAAUUCAUAUUCAAAGUUGAACAUGAAUCGUAUAAUAUGCAGUCUAGACAAAACAAAAGAAGAAAUCAAAAAAAAGAGAUGAAGGCCGAUUUUUAACUGAUUAUAAUCAGUUAUCUAUAAUUAUAGAUAAUAAAACAAAACUUUAUGAGAGGCCA